ACAACUGCUGGUCAUUUUCACUUACCAAGGUUAUAGAGAAUUUAUGAUUUGCGAACACCCAAAUUUUGCCAUUACAGUUGUUAAACAUUAACGAUAUCUAGAGUCUAUUUCUAUACCUGUUGAUGUGCCUGAAAUGUUGAAAAGGUUCUAAUAAUGCAAUAAAGGCAAAUUUAUGAAAUUUAUGCAACAUUUAGACUCUCUGAAAAACCUUUUGUGACUUAACAAAUCUUAUGUUUCGUAUAAAAGCCUUCAUCAUUUCUUCACAGAUUGAGUGCCCCUUCUCUUUGGUUGAGUUCUAACAGGUUGUGAACUCUCUUCAGUUCCUUGCUUUCUCCAUUUCCUAGCAAAUUUGACACUCUUAAUAGCUCUUGGAGAUAAAUCUGUAUCAUGAAAAAUUUGCUCUUCCAUCUGCUCAGAAGUUUUCUUUCCUGUUCCUGAUUCCAGCAAACCAUUAAAUUCCACCUCCUCCUGAAUAUUGUGGGUGAGGAUAUUAUGGAGCACAUCUUGAGGAUUUUCAAUAUCUCUCCAAUCCAUAUCUUCUACAACAGCUAGGGGAACAUCCACAAUAGCUAGCUUAUUAUCCUGUGUCAUUGCUAUUGUCUGCUGCCCUCUAUUUCCUUAACUCUUCACUUUGCACCUCAUCAUUAAUCACAUCCGACGCUUCAUGUUGAUGAUUACAUUGAUCACUUGACUGAUUCUCUGCAUUGUUAUUACUUAGAUCAAGGGUCAAAACUAUGUUGACUGUAGGUAAUCUAUGAUAAUUGAUUUGUUCUACUGCUUGUUGAUUUAGUACUAAUUUAUCCUCUGAUUUUCUUUGUCUUGCAGUGAUGUCUGACUUUUUUGGUGAUGAGGAUACUUGGUUCACUUUAUCUUCGGCUUUGAAUGAUCUAGAUAACCAGUCUUUGGUGGUUUCCUGUUUAUCAACCCCCUCCCCUUUCUCUAGUGUGAUCUUCUGUGUAAUAGGAAUAUUAUUAGCUAGUGAAUGCUCCUCUACUUCAUCUGUCAAUGCUGCGAAAGGAUCUUCAUUACCAAUCCCUUUGUGAGGUGUGAUUGUUUUUUCUCAAAGAUAACCCUUAUUUAUGAAUCUUCUCCUAGUAGGGUUCCGCUGGUGUCGCUGACGAUGCCUAUGGCAAUCAUAUGGUUGUUCCUGUUUAUUUGUUGGUGUUGCCUCCAUUUCACCAUUAGUUGGCUUACCUUUGUUUUCCUCCUUUUCUGGUAGUUCCUGUCUUAAUUCUGGGUGAAGAAUUCUACAUUCUUGCUUAUUGUGACCUUGUAGACUACAUUCUCCACAAUAUUUAGGAAGAUAAUCGUAUUUAAUUUUCACUUGUUCUACCCUUGAUUCCUUGGUUUGAGAAGUAAUAAUCUCCACUUCCACGUACUCCGGAAGAUCUGCCAACAAAUUCACUUGCACCUUAACCCUAGUGCAGUUAGGUCUAGUUUUAUUUAUAGUCGCCGAAUCCAAAUGCUUCGGUUUCCCUGCUGCCGAUGCUAAAGAGAAUAAAGCUUCUUUCACAAAGAAUGUUGGCUUUAGAUCAGGAAACGAAAUCCAUGCUAUAGCUUGUGUAGUUUCCUCUUCAAUCUUGAAUUUAGCAUCGUAUAUUAGAGGUCUCACCUGAUAAGAAUAUCCCUCCUCAUCAUUGAUAUAGUAAACUGCUUUUGACAUCACAUUGAUGAAGUCCUCUAUCAAGUUAAACCUCAUAAGAAUGUGCAUAUUCUUAAGGAAACCAAUUCGGCAAUCUCCCUUCAGAUUAAGCUGCUUAGGAAUUUGAAUAGAAGAUCCUUAAGUUAAGGCCAUCAAUAGGAGAAUUUCCUAAUUAUUGCAUCCACUUCUUCCUCAGUCCACAUAACUCUAGGAACCCCAUUGAUAAAAAUGGGCUUUUUAAUGGGGAUUGGCUCAAUAACUGGCUUAUUUAGAUUCUGCGAAGAAUUAAUGGUUUAAGGGUUUUAGAAGAUUAGCAUAUUUACCUAAAUGAGUGGGGGGUCCUUUAGUGGGUGAGGAUGCGCUAGGCAUUAUAGGCUCGUCAGGGGGUUUUUGUGGUAAUGGUGGAAAGUUGACAUUUGUAGUGGUAAGGGGUGAUAAGUCAGCCAUAGGAAUGAGUUGACCACUGGCCUAAAUGGCAAUUUUCGGUGAGAAAAGUUCCAAACAAAAGGCGGCUUCUUCUUGUUUUCUAUUAAUUAUGAGUUGAAUAUGGGGUCUUACAUUAUUCUCCCUUUGGAUCAUUCAUCACCGAAUAAGAAAGUCGGUCAUUCUUAGCACGAUAUUAGAAAGAACAUUGUAG
rnacentral:lncRNA from 1 species